UCCCCAGUGUCUUAGUGGUAAAGAAUAUGCCUGCAAUGUAAGAGACCCAGGUUCAAUCUCUGGGUUGGGAA
rnacentral:tRNA from 1 species